AUUGAACGCUGGCGGCAUGCUUUACACAUGCAAGUCGAACGGCAGCGCGGGCUUCGGCCUGGCGGCGAGUGGCGAACGGGUGAGUAAUGCAUCGGAACGUGCCCAGUAGUGGGGGAUAGCCCAGCGAAAGCCGGAUUAAUACCGCAUACGACCUGAGGGUGAAAGCGGGGGACCGAAAGGCCUCGCGCUAUUGGAGCGGCCGAUGUCGGAUUAGCUAGUUGGUGGGGUAAAGGCUUACCAAGGCGACGAUCCGUAGCUGGUCUGAGAGGACGACCGGCCACACUGGGACUGAGACACGGCCCAGACUCCUACGGGAGGCAGCAGUGGGGAAUUUUGGACAAUGGGGGCAACCCUGAUCCAGCCAUGCCGCGUGCGGGAAGAAGGCCUUCGGGUUGUAAACCGCUUUUGUUCGGGAAGAAAUCCUCUGGGCUAAUACCCCGGGGGGAUGACGGUACCGGAAGAAUAAGCACCGGCUAACUACGUG
rnacentral:rRNA from 1 species